AAUCCGGUUGAUCCUGCCGGACCUGACUGCUAUCGGAUUGAUACUAAGCCAUGCGAGUCAUUGUAGUAAUACAAGGCAGACGGCUCAGUAACGCGUAGUCAACCUAACCUAUGGACGGGAAUAACCUCGGGAAACUGAGAAUAAUGCCCGAUAGAACACUAUAUCUGGAAUGGUUUGUGUUCCAAAUGAUUUAUCGCCGUAGGAUGGGACUGCGGCCUAUCAGUUUGUUGGUGAGGUAAUGGCCCACCAAGACUAUUACAGGUACGGGCUCUGAGAGGAGUAGCCCGGAGA
rnacentral:rRNA from 1 species